rnacentral:tRNA from 1 species
GGAGGGGUCGCCUAGUGGCCUAUGGCGCUCGCUUGGAAAGCGAGUUUCCGCGCAAGCGGAUCGAGGGUUCGAAUCCCUCUCCCUCCGCCA